rnacentral:lncRNA from 1 species
CCUCCCAAAGUGCUGGGAUUACAGGCGUAAGCCACAUGCCCAGCUCGAUCCCUCCCUUUUGUUCAACAAACUAAAUUCGAGCAGGAGGCUCUAGGAUUCCACAGGCAUGAUGAAAUGGAAGCCGGAGGAUCUGGGAUCGGUUCCUUGUGAGGCUUUCUCUGUUACUCUGCUGUGCGGCUGGCCAGGGUUACAUGUUCAUUGUGAAUCUGCAAAGCGGGGGCACUACUCAUUGUUGUCACUCACGGGUAGAAGAAGCCAAUGGAGGCUCGAUUUGGACAUGAACUUCCCAGGGACUAGAGAAUGCGGCGCUUAAAACUUCUGCUAAAUUAUGUGUUUCCUUUGUGCUUCCAUUUCUUUGGCCACAGCAAGUCACAUGACAUGAUAGGAAACACAACCCUCCCACAAAGCCAGUGGAGAACUGGAAUCUUUGCAAAUGGCCCUCAAGCCUGUCAUCUAUGUGCAUGGUAACAGGAGAGGGAAUUGGAAAGGUGAGUUAGGGGCUGCUUUCUGAAGUUGUGUUUGCAAAACACACAAACCAGUUUAAUAUGGUCAGGCUUUGUGUCCCUGCCCAAAUCUCAUCUUGAAUUGUAAUCCCCAGAUGUUGAGGGAGAGACCUGGUGGGAAGUGACUGAAUCAUGGGGGCAGUUGCCCCCCUGCUGUUCUCAUGAUAGUGAUGAGUUCUCAUGAGAUCUGAUGGUUUUAUAAGGCAGUUUUCCCUGCUCUUGCUAGCUCUUCUCUCUCCUGCUGCCAUGUGAAGAAGAUCCUUGCCUCCCCUUUGUCCUCCAUGAUUGUAAGUUUCCUGAGGUCUCCCCAUCCAUGUGGAACUGUGAGUCAAUAAAACCUCUUUCCUUUAUAAAUUUCCAGUCUUGGGUAGUUCUUUACAGCAGUGUGAAAAUGGACUAAUACAUAGUUUUACCUUUAUUUUGUUUCUGUGAGGUGUUUUUCAGUUGAAGGUAUUCAUGG